AAGAAGGUAAGCUAAUUAAGCUACUGGGUUCAUACCCCAUUUAUGGAAAAUAAAAAUUUCCCCUUCUUA
rnacentral:tRNA from 1 species